rnacentral:rRNA from 1 species
AGGGUUUGAUCAUGGCUCAGGAUAAACGCUGGCGGCGUGCCUAAUACAUGCAAGUCGAGCGGUAAGGCUUUCACAGAUUAUUUAAACGGAAAAGUCCAUGAUUCAUGGAUACUAUCCUUCAACAUUCAUUUCCCGGCUAGGAAAUAUACAAUGGUUGAAUAAUGUGUGAAAGUACACGAGCGGCGGACGGCUGAGUAACGCGUAGGAACGUACCCCAAAGUGAGGGAUAAGCACCAGAAAUGGUGUCUAAUACCGCAUGUGGUCCACGGACUAAAGGAUUUAUCCGCUUUGGGAGCGGCCUGCGUAUGAUUAGUUUGUUGGUGAGGUAAUGGCUCACCAAGACUACGAUCAUUAGCUGGUCUGAGAGGAUGAUCAGCCAGACUGGGACUGAGACACGGCCCAGACUCCUACGGGAGGCAGCAGUAGGGAAUCUUCCACAAUGGACGAAAGUCUGAUGGAGCAACGCCGCGUGCAGGAUGAAGGCUUUCGGGUCGUAAACUGCUUUUAUGGAUGAAGAAUAUGACAGUAGUCCAAGAAUAAGGGACGGCUAACUACGUGCCAGCAGCCGCGGUCAUACGUAGGUCCCAAGCGUUAUCCGGAAUUACUGGGCGUAAAGAGUUGCGUAGGUGGUCUAUUAAGCAGAGUAUGAAAUAUCACGGCUCAACCGUGAAACCGUAUUCUGAACUGGUAGACUAGAGGAUGAGAGAGGUUAUUGGAAUUUCUUGUGUAGGAGUGA